AUCUGGGGGCACACUGCAUGAGGUCCACUGAGUGGGGCCAGAGCUUACGGAUGGGGGGCCGGGGAAGGCACGCGCUGCGGAUGAGGGCACUAGCUGCCCACUGUUGAUCGUUUUCAUCAUGGAGGGACAUCCAUGACCAUAAUAUUCCCGGCUCUGCCCAUUAUUAGGCAAAUGGUGAGUCUGGGCUAAGAAACCGGGCUCUUCCCUGUCUUCCUUUGUUAGUAGCAGGUUGUCCUCAGCCCUGGGGAAGCCUGGGAGAGGAGAUGCGCUGCGAGGGGCCUGCACCCACCUAGCACUGCUGUACCUGACCAGGAAAACCCAACAUGCAUUAUAUGGGCAAAUGCCAUUAAUAAUCACCCAGCUGAACACCAGCAAUUUGGUCUCCACAGCAACAGAAGGUGAUGACGUUUAGCUCAGAGGGUUGUCAUGAACAUGAAACGGGAGAAAGCACAGAGAGACCAGGAGCCAUGGGACAAGAGCGCUUCACCUCUGGUCCACUGCUGGGGCACCUGUUGUCUGGAGCUGCGCAGUGAAGAACAGUGGCUGAGCCCCGCCCGUGCAGCCCAGGAGCUUCGAGUCUGCUGAGAGCCAGCCUAGGGAACAAGCUAUGACAAUGAAAUACAAGGGUUGCCAUGAUAAGAGUGAGCAAGAGGAUAUUUUGGGCCCUGAGAAGAGAUUCUCACCCCAGCUUGUGGUCAGAAGAGAGAGUGGGAACUGGGGGAACUGGUAGACUUUUGGAGGCAAGAAAGCUGCAAUCAGCAAAGCCUCAGAACAGACAGAGGCACAGAGGUUUGAGCUCCUGCUGCCUUCUUCACAGACACAAAAGAGCCGCUGUUUGAGCCAGGGAUGCGACUGAGCUGUGGCUGUAGCAGAGCCCUUUCUGUAUGCAUCGUCUCCAGCUCAAAGAGGUGACGAGCCCAAGGACUAGAGUGACGAAUUCUUGGUUUGAACACAAGUGUGUCCAGGUCGCAGGUCUGUACCUUGUGGUGCAUUCCAGGAGGCCUCUGCUGGAGGAUACAUCACAGUCUCCUGGGGAGAUAGUUAAACUACUGCUGUGUAAACCUUAUUCUAGCUGGGCUGAACUGAAAUCUCUGGGAGUAAGGUUCACAAAUGCAUAAUAAAAAAAAGGCUCCCCAGGAGAUUCUGAUGUGUCUUCCUGGUUCAUGACUGCAGGGGCAGCCCCAGGAAAGGCUCUCUGCUUGUGGCCCAGUACCACGUUCAAGGUUGUUUACACCAAUGAGCUACUAAGAAGUGUGCAUCU